AUCAGUGGACAUUUCAUUUAUUGAAGCUCCAACAGUGUUGACAGUGCAAUAUUCUAUCAACACAAGGGAAUGAUUCUCGCAGAGAAUGAAAAUAAAGACCAAAGCCCUUUACUUCCUGAUGAUUCAGGUUUUUCAAGGUUUAACUGGGAAAUCAGAAAAAAAUUUGGUUCAUUCUUUUAUCCAUCAGAUUACCUUAUUGCACCCUUAAAUGUAACAUCUUCUGAUGAGUGAGGCACCUGAGGGAUCUCACACGUCAGCCUGCCCUCUGCUGGGAGCCCCGUGGGGACUCGGUCUCUCCUGCAGGAAGAGUGUGCCCCAGGGUUAUACCCUUCCUGUCUAGGAAGUGUGGUUCCUGUAAUCACAAAGUGGAAGCAAAUGGGACAGGACGUGAGAAGCAGAACAUUGGCUCUUGUAGGGUAAACAGUGAUGACCCAGAAAAGAACACAGCCAGCCUGAAUUGGGGGGUUCUGGGCAGGACCUCCUGGAAAAACUCCAUAGGAGGUCCUGAGUCCAGUUUCAUUGAGCUGGGUCUUUCAUGGAUGGUGGGUGGUAGGAUGGGCUUAGGUAGGGUGUGGUGGGGGGUGUGGCUAUAGCGAUGAGCAUUGUGACCUAGCAGGCGAGGCUGGAGUGCCCUGUCCUAGUGAGUAGGCAUUGCUCCCUGGGCUCGGGCAGCUGGGAAUCAGCGGGUCCGGAACUCAGAUGGCUGAGGGGCAGGCAGGAGUCAGACUUAUCAUUUCCUAGGUGUUAAGGAUAACAGCAGGAAAACCAGCUGCUCUUUAAGCAUAUGUACCAGUGCUGUUGCCAUUGCCAAUGAGGAAGCUGAAUCCUGAGAAGUCAGGCUCCGGCUCUAGGCUGAGACGCACAUCCAUGGCUGAGCCAAGAUGCAGUUGGAUGGAAAUUCCCACUCAAAACCCAUGUUUCAGGUGGUUCUAAAACACGAAUCCUAACAUCCAAAAUUAACACAAAAAAGUAAUAGAUUUCAGAAUUUAAAAGAUUGAGUAUCCAAUACAAUUCUGAAUCCUUGUUCUGCAAGUGUUUAAUAAGAAGUUACAGAAUUAUCCAUAAAAAUAAGUCUAAAUUCUUUAGGAUGAUUUGGUGGACUAGUAGUCAAGAGGAAUGCUGCAGAAGCACUAUUCAUGAACUUAGGAACAUUCAUUUGAUAUCAUUAAGGAUGAAAAUGGGCUCUGAUCAAGAUUUGCAAUGGUAUCAAAGGGGAAUUGAUUAAUAAAUGGAUAGUAAUAUGGAGGGAGGGGGGGAGGUAUGAAAGUGAUCAAGUGCUGGACUGCAUAUGAAUUUUAGGAGCACCUACUAACAGGGAUUAAUCUUUACUUCCUGAAAGAGCAAGCUUUUCGUCAUCCGAACUGUUCUGCGUGAGAACUUGGCUUUGACUAGUCAGCCCCUGCGGGAGGACUAUGGAACCUCAGUAGGAAUGGUAACAGCCCCUCCCUGGAGGAGUGUAUUCGAGGGUAAAGGAGACACAGUAUAACAGGCUCAGUGCACGCAGAAAGUGCUGCAAAUGGUCAUCAAUUUCCAUUACCAG